UUUUCCGGUAAGGGGGACCUGCGGAGGGAUCAUUACACAAAUAUGAAGCCGGGCGAAAACCUCUCGGGGUUACAGCCUUGCUGAAUUAUUCACCCUUGUCUUUUGCGUACUUCUUGUUUCCUUGGUGGGUUCGCCCACCACUAGGACAAACAUAAACCUUUUGUAAUUGCAAUCAGCGUCAGUAACAAAUUAAUAAUUACAACUUUCAACAACGGAUCUCUUGGUUCUGGCAUCGAUGAAGAACGCAGCGAAAUGCGAUAAGUAGUGUGAAUUGCAGAAUUCAGUGAAUCAUCGAAUCUUUGAACGCACAUUGCGCCCUUUGGUAUUCCAAAGGGCAUGCCUGUUCGAGCGUCAUUUGUACCCUCAAGCUUUGCUUGGUGUUGGGCGUCUUGUCUCUAGCUUUGCUGGAGACUCGCCUUAAAGUAAUUGGCAGCCGGCCUACUGGUUUCGGAGCGCAGCACAAGUCGCACUCUCUAUCAGCAAAGGUCUAGCAUCCAUUAAGCCGCUUAACCUUUGACCGCGCAACAGGCACGCACAAACGCGAAAAGUAAGCAUAUCAAUAAGGCGGAGGAA
rnacentral:rRNA from 1 species